rnacentral:rRNA from 1 species
AUUGAACGCUGGCGGCAGGCCUAACACAUGCAAGUCGAGCGGAUGAAGGGAGCUUGCUCCUGGAUUCAGCGGCGGACGGGUGAGUAAUGCCUAGGAAUCUGCCUGGUAGUGGGGGAUAACGUCCGGAAACGGGCGCUAAUACCGCAUACGUCCUGAGGGAGAAAGUGGGGGAUCUUCGGACCUCACGCUAUCAGAUGAGCCUAGGUCGGAUUAGCUAGUUGGUGGGGUAAAGGCCUACCAAGGCGACGAUCCGUAACUGGACUGAGAGGAUGAUCAGUGACACUGGAACUGAGACACGGUCCAGACUCCUACGGGAGGCAGCAGUGGGGAAUAUUGGACAAUGGGCGAAAGCCUGAUCCAGCCAUGCCGCGUGUGUGAAGAAGGUCUUCGGAUUGUAAAGCACUUUAAGUUGGGAGGAAGGGCAGUAAGUUAAUACCUUGCUGUUUUGACGUUACCAACAGAAUAAGCACCGGCUAACUUCGUG